UACAGAGGGGGCAAGCGUUGUUCGGAAUUACUGGGCGUAAAGGGCGCGUAGGCGGCCUGUUAAGUCGAACGUGAAAUCCCCGGGCUCAACCCGGGAACUGCGUCCGAUACUGGCAGGCUUGAAUCCGGGAGAGGGAUGCGGAAUUCCAGGUGUAGCGGUGAAAUGCGUAGAUAUCUGGAGGAACACCGGUGGCGAAGGCGGCAUCCUGGACCAACACUGACACUGAGGAGCGAAAGCCAGGGGAGCAAACGGG
rnacentral:rRNA from 1 species